rnacentral:rRNA from 1 species
CCUACGGAAAUAGUAGUGGACCGGGGUUAGAAACAUCCCUUCCCCGCAAGGGGCUGCUAUAUAGGUGCUGCAUGGCUGUCGUCAGCUCGUGUCGUGAGAUGUUGGGUUAAGUCCCGCAACGAGCGCAACCCUUAUCUCCAGUUGCUACCAUUUAGUUGAGCACUCUGGCGAAACCGCCUCGGAUAACGGGGAGGAAGGUGGGGAUGACGUCAAGUCCUCAUGGCCUUUAUGUCCAGGGCUACACACAUGCUACAAUGGCCGGUACAAACCGUCGCAAACCCCCGAGGGGGAGCUAAUCGGAAAAAGCCGGCCUCAGUUCGGAUUGCAAUCUGCAACUCUACUGGGUGGACCUGGAAGGACUAAUAGGGGGAAUCAAAACACCCCGGUGAAUACCUUCCCUGACUUGUACACACCCCCCGUACUCACCAAUUGGGUUGCACUAGAACCUGUCGCCUAACCCCACGGGAGCACCCCUCCUA